CUGUGAGGGUCUGCGGCUUCAUUCUUCAAGUCAGUGAGACCAAGAACCCACCAAUUCCGGACACACUACUGUUGCAGAAGUGUGUCCUUGUCAAGCAUUUACAGACAAGAGUGGAGAAAAAUGGAAACUCAUCAAACAAGUGAUAUAAGUAGAGAAGUCUGGCACAUUGAUGUUAUCACCAGAUAUGGCUUCAUAGGAGGGAACAGUGCACAUUGAAGUUGACAGCCACCGCAGCCACUGCAGGGCCCAGCCGUACCCUUAGGAAAGGAGCUCUUUCUGAUAUAAACGCUAUGCAAGGACACACAUUCCAGAGACACG